ensembl:lncRNA
CGGGGAGGACGGGCUGUGGCUGAGUAAGGGUGAGCAGCAGUGGGGAAGCCGGCGGGGACGCGCCCUCCCGUCGGGGGCAUGCAGGCCGGGGCCCCGGGGCCGAGAAGCAGGGGGGACCUGCACUCAGGUACAGGAAAGGCCGGGCGCCACCCCAGGCGUCCCUAGCCCGUCAGGCUCCCCUCCGCAGCCACUCCCUUCCAGCCAUUUCUCAGAGUCGGCCCCCUCGCUGCCCAUUAACCCGUCUGAUAGCUCUGUCAGCCGCUGAUGGAGAUGAGAGAGCCUGGGCCGUUUCCAAAAAUGCCCGGCUCUGUUUCACCGACGCUGUCCCCCUCAGCGAGCAGCGGCAGGGUGGGGGCUCCGGGCUAGAAGGAGGCGUAGCCAGCCAACUUGGGCCUCAAAUGCCCAGGGUUAUAGUCUAAUGCAAAUAGAAGGUCACUCCUCAAAAAGAGGCAAAGCCGGGCAGCUUCGGCAAGGGUCCCAGAAAGCAAAGAGAAAGGGCCGCCCUUAUCUCGUUCCUGGGGAGAGAACAGUUCCUGACUAUGACAUCAGGAAUGGGUGGUUCUAAAGAAGGUCAUGGAAAAACCAUCUGUGAUGGAUAGAGGCCGCGGGAGUGGGGGCCUCUUAGAAGGAAGAAAGACGAAAAGAACAUACCUAAUAGCCUGCUGGAGAGAACAGGCUCAUUAUCAACAAUGCCCUGAGAGGUAGAGCCAGGAUGGCGGAGUAAAGCCAGAGCUGCUUGAGCUUUACCAGUUUUCCUUGAAAAACCAAGUGAAACCAAGCCUCUGAACAGUCUUCUGAUGGAACGAAACCACUCUCCAGCUCAAGAUAUGUUGGAAGUAUUUCAAGAAAGAGUCUCCUAAACACUGAUCUAGCAUGCAUCAACCUCAUCAUCAAUGUGGACAUCUCUGGAAAGUAUAUUGCCAAUAAAUGGCUCCCAUCAGGUGUCCAGUCACCAAAAUCAGGAUCCAGCUUCAGAUGGUUAGUAUCUGUGUGCCACCCAUAUUUCAAGCAUCACUAAUACAGCUGUUGGCAUGACUAAAAUCUAGCUUUGGGAACUCGGGUUCAAAACCUGUCUUACCAACUCUUCUCAUAAAUGAGAUCAGCAACCUUUUCUCCACAUCCCCUCACACCAUUCCCAAUCUCUCAUUCAUCAUCCUAAUUCAGACCAUCACCUUUUCAUAUUUCAUCUCCUUCAUUUUAAUCCCCACACCAUUCUCUUCCAUAGAGCAGAAAAAAUGAUUUUCCUAAAGUGCACACUAGAUGACCAUGCGACCUCUGAACUGCAUGCAUUCCUAUGGUUAUUAUCCCUACGAUUAAAAUAGAAAUUCUGCAUUUAAAGCUAUUCAUAAUCCUGGCCUCUAUCUUUUCAGUCUCCUUCCACAAUUUCCCUUGAUGUAUUAUUCUGUAAUCCAGAAGGUCACCUUCUGCAGAAGUUCCCCCAAUUGCUAGGGCUUUGCUCUCUAAGGAUACCUUGUAUUUUGUAUGGUAUAUAUAGAUCUAUAUACAAGUGGUCAUAUCAUUAGAAUGUAUGCUCCUUGAGGGGAAGACUCUUUUCUUUGAAAAUACUAGGGCAGUUUAGGAUAAUACCUGUCAUAUAAUGCAUGAUUAAAUUCUGAAUUCUGCAACAAUACUGUAUGCAAAAAAAAAUCUAACUUGAUCAAUAGACAUGAACAAAAAAAUAAGAACUGGAGUCAAUUAUUACGUUAGAUUGAAAAACAUGGUCUAGUCCCUUAACAAGAGGGAUAAAAUAACCCAUGUGAUCUGCUGGUUUUUUAAAUUAAAAAAAA